rnacentral:tRNA from 1 species
GCCUGGCUGGCUUAGUCGGUAGAGCAUGCGACUCUUAAUCUCAGGGUCAUGAGUUCAAGCCCCACGAUGGGUG